AAGUCUUUCAAUAUCGUCACAUAGAUCAGCAUUCGAUCCUCCUCUAGAGGGAACAGAUAAAAUCCAGAAAUCACUUUUCGACAUCGUCAAACAAUCUAUGCUAAUGUGGUACUUUCACCAAUGUGUUUCGUUAUCAAAAGACACUAAAAAAACGAGUGAAAAUUAAUAGUGAUCCAAAAAUACAAUAGGAACUCCAGAAUUCACACUUCCAAGGAACAAGAUUGGGAAAGGAAGUAGAGGGGUCUGACAACGAGUGUAAGCGAUAGACACCAGAAAGCCAAGGUAGAACAGAUGCUGAGGAAUGAAUAACGAUGAGAGGAAUUAGAUGUGGAGGGAAAAGGUGAGCAUUAGAUGCUUCUUUUCAAAAACAAAAUUCAGACGAUACUUUUUGUUGAUGAGAAUCUAUAUAGAGGACGAUGCUUUGAUAUUUCCUUUGGCU